rnacentral:rRNA from 1 species
CCGAGAAUCUUCCGCAAUGGGCGCAAGCCUGACGGAGCGACGCCGCGUGGAGGACGAAGGCCUUCGGGUUGUAAACUCCUGUCACGGGUUAUGAAUGGCGGCUGGUGAACAGUCAGUCGUUUGACGUAAGCCCGAGAGGAAGCACUGGCUAACUCUGUGCCAGCAGCCGCGGUAAUACAGAGAGUGCAAACGUUGUUCGGAAUCACUGGGCAUAAAGCGCGCGUAGGCGGCGCCACAAGUGCGGGGUAAA